AGGAAUAUGGACUAAUUCAUGCAGCUGCACGGUCUGCUGUUCUAGGAGUUUUAAUUAUAUCCGAAUAAUGUAACUCAUUGUGACGAGGCGUCUCAGGGGUUUCUGCUGCUGGCUCUGCAUCACGAGGAAGCACUAUCUCGGAUUUUAUUGAUGUGUUGAGGGGCUAUUUGGGAAUUCGUGUUUUGCUCAUCCACCCGUAGUUUUCUUCCUGUGCUAUGCUAUUUGCAUAGCAUGGGUGCAGGUCACUUUUUAAUUAUGAUUUUUUUUCGCCCCUAUGUUCUAUGCAGUAAGAAGCUGGUUGCCGUUUUGCACCCAAAUGAUACUCAUUUCAGUCUUUGCCGAGUAAAUGCCACGUUGUCACCCUUCUAACCAUUCCCUAUUUCAAAUGUCUCGAAGUCUGCUUCUUUUUUUCUGUUCGUUCCAUGCUGGGCGGUCCUCCGAGGACUUGGGAAUCGGCGCACAUCUCAGUGAGCCCAGCCUGCGCCGAUGUGAUGGUGGCACGGAAAAGCAAAGAUUGAAAAGUACCAGUCCCCCCCAAAGAUUACUUUUAGAACCGUGAGCACUAUAACGUAUCUGUAAAACUUUGUACGUAAUUGUCACUCCAGCAGCAAUGAAUUUAAGAGAGGGACAGUUUGCCUGCUUUCCAUGUUGGGUGGGUGGAGCAGAGCUGUAUACUUGAGACUAAAUGAUUGUAGUCGAUUCGAUGUCUGUAAGCAAUUUGCAUGGCAGCAGCCUUGAAUUACUAGUUACUUGAAACAUUGCCUGCUUUCCGUGUUGGGUUGGUGGAGCAUACUUGUCUUAAGAUCUUUGAGGUGAAAUAAGGAAUGCGCAGAGAUAAGUUGUUAUCACUCGGACUAGUUAGAAGUAGUGUUUUGAAAUUAAGUUCGGACAUGUGUAUUAUAGUUCGAAGCUGGUUGUGAAAGGAGCCAAUCAAUUACGAGUCAUGCUUCAGAGAAAUGUGACUUUUCAAGCUUUUAAAAACUGAAAGCUUCUGAAGUAUUCAUCAGACAUAUAACUCUUUGGUGGCACAGACGGUUAAUUUUAUUUUCUCCUAUGUGUGAUG